GGAGAGGUGACCGAGAGGCCGAAGGUGCGGCACUGGAAAUGCCGUGUACGCCAAAAGCGUACCGAGGGUUCGAAUCCCUCCCUCUCCG
rnacentral:tRNA from 1 species